rnacentral:rRNA from 1 species
GAUGAACGCUGACAGAAUGCUUAACACAUGCAAGUCGAUGGGGCAGUGGUGCUUGCCCCAUGUUAACCAUGGCGGACGGGUGAGUAACACGUAAGGAACUUACCUGCGGGACCGGGAUAACAGCAGGAAACUGCUGACAAGACCGGAUAAGGUCUUUAAGCUGCCUCGCUUAGUGAUGAAAGGAGACGCCUGCGGAGAGCCUUGCGUCUUAUUAGCUAGUUGGUGGGGUAACGGCCCACCAAGGGGAAGAGAGGGAGCAGGCCGGAGAGGAUGGACGGCCACAACGCGAACGAGAGACAGCAGUAACGACUACUGGAGGCAGCAGGAAGGAAUAAUGGACAAACGCGGCAACACUGAUCAAGCAAUUCUGUGUGCACAAAUACGUUUUUCGGAAUGUAAAGAUCUUUCAGCAAGGAAGAAGGAAUUGACGGUACCUACAGAAAAAGCGACGGCUAAAUACGUG